UGGAAAAACCAGACUCCAAAGGAUGAUUACU
rnacentral:piRNA from 1 species